GCACCGGUGGUGUAUGGUACACGCGCUGUCCCUGUGCGUCCAAUGUGGUUAGCGAGUCAAUCGGCGAGACGGGGUUCGAUUCCCCGCUGGUGCA